UUUCCGUAGGUGAACCUGCGGAAGGAUCAUUAAUAAUGGCUCCGAUUGUAGGAGCACUAAUAAUCCUACCCUUUGUGAAUUUGUUGUUUGAAAUAAUUUUUUUAAAUUAUUGAAUGUCUUUCCCUGUUGAAUUAGAGUGUUUUCGGACACAAAGAUUCGCAGGGAUAGUCAAUAACUUUUAAAAGACCUUUUUUAAAUUAAACUUUUUGUAUCAUUGUCUAAAAUUAUUUUUAUAAUAUAAAAACAACUUUGACAAUGGAUCUCUUGGUUCUCGAACGAUGAAGAACGCAGCAAAUGCGAUAAGUAGUGUGAAUUGCAGAAUACGUGAAUCAUCGAAUCUUCGAACGCAUAUUGCACUUUUUUAGUUUACUAAAAAAGUAUGUCUGUUUGAGUAUCAGUAAUAUUCUCAUAAAACUUUUUUGUUUUUAUGGUUAUGAGUGUUUUACAACGAUACAGUUGUUUCACUUUAAAUUUUAAAUUUGAAUUUUUUUCUAAUUUUAAAUAAAAUUGGAUAAAAUUUUCCGUAAAAAGGAAUACCUAAACAAUUUUACUUAUUUUAGAAGAAAUUUCAACCAAAGGAAAUUUAACAAAUAACUUGAUCUCAAAUCAGAUAAGAGUACCGCUGAACUUAAGCAUAUCAAUAAGCGGAGGAAAAGAAACUACAAGGAUUCCCUUAGUAACGGCGAGUGAGCGGGAAGAGCUCAAAUUUGAAAUCUUCAAGGUUUUACCUUGAGAAUUGUAGUUUAAAGAAGUGUUUUCUGUUGAAGUUUUGGUAAAGUUCUUUGGAAUAGGACAUCAUAGAGGGUGAGAAUCCCGUAUUUGACCAUUAUUUUCAGCUGUGUGAUACACUUUCAAGAGUCGGAUUGUUUGGGAAUGCAGUCCAAAAUGGGUGGUAAAUUCAUCUAAAGCUAAUAUUGGCGAGAGACCGAUAGCGAACAGUACGUGGGAAAGAUGAAAAGAACUUUGAAAGAGAGUUAAACAGUACGUGAAAUUGCAAAAGGGAAGCGUUUGACACCAGUGUUGUUUCUCGAAAAUCAAUUAAAAAGAGUUGGAUUUUGUUGUGUAUUGACCUUAACAGCUUGCAUUUCAAUUUUCUUGCUUUUUUAAUGCACUUUUCGUUUAACAAGUCAACAUCAGUUUCUUUUGUUGUAAAAGGUCAUUGAGGUGGCUUUCUUUUCGGAGAAAGUGUUAUAGCCUUUGACUCCUGCAAUCGGAGAGACUGAGGUCUGCAGCGUAGAUCCUUCGGGUUAGAUACAUUGUGCUAAGUUAUAGCUUUUUAUAGACAACUUGUUGACUAUGAUUAGUCUGUAGCUACUCGCUUAUGCUAUUUUACCUACGCUUAGGAUGUUGA
rnacentral:misc_RNA from 1 species